UGAGCAAUCUGCCCUUCUCAUCGGAAUAACCAUUGGAAACGAUGGCUAAUGCCGAAUAUGACCUCGGAACACAUGUUCUGAGGUGGAAAGCUCCGGCGGAGAAGGAUGAGCUCGCGGCCUAUCAGCUAGUUGGUGUGGGUAAUGGCCCACCAAGGCGACGACGGGUAGCCGGCCUGAGAGGGUGACCGGCCACACUGGGACUGAGACACGGCCCAGACCUCUACGGGAGG
rnacentral:rRNA from 1 species